AGACAGUUUCUGAGGCUCUAUAUCCACUGAUUUAAAACGUUCAUAUUUCAUUCUACACAGAAUAAAAUACUUCUCAUCACUAUUUAUUUAAAACUAUAUUAAAAAAGACUUAGCUUUGAUGGAAGAGAAUAAAGAUGGGAAAUAUUUAAACAAACUGUACAUACAAAUCCACAGGGCCUGAAGUGAUGGUUGAACUAAGGAGACAUACACGAGUGAUGAAGGAGCAAUAAUGUGAAAGGUAAUUUGCUGCUUGAAUUCAAAGAACAGCUUUGGAGAAAAUGAGCAUACACUGCAGCUUAUCAGAGGCUUUUAGAAUAGUUCUUUACAAAUUCACAUUCCUUCUUCUUUGGUGUCAGAAGAAAGAACGAAGAAGUAUAUAGAAAAGGUCUACUUUCUACACCAAAUCUCUGAAGAAUAUGGGAUGUAUAUUUGCAGACUUUAUGCUAUGUUAUACACAGUAGCUGU
rnacentral:lncRNA from 1 species